GGGUGCUUGAGGCUUUCUGCCUUAAGCAUUUGCCAACGGCAGAAAGAGAAAAGCCCCAGUUAACAUAGAACGUCUAGCAGGACGUUUUACAUUAAACUGAGGCCACUUCCAAAUGCCAGACGCAUUUAGAGUAGCCUCUUACGGACCUUCGGGUCAAGGAGAAGUAGGCUAUGAAG
rnacentral:antisense_RNA from 1 species